rnacentral:lncRNA from 1 species
CUUAUUAACAAACAAAAAUCAUAUUUACAGUAUGGAUCCUUUGCAACAAACACACAGGGCAGGGAAGAUGUGCUGAUUGGUAUUCUAUACAAUUAAUCCCAUAUGGGUGUUGUGGAAAUAAGGUCUACACAUAUUUCCUAGUUAGUGAAAAAUGUCUAUUUACUCAUUUCACGAUAUAUAUCAAUAUAGCUAAGCACACAUAUUAUAAUUAAGAUGGCUGCUGGAAGCUUCUAGCUCCUUCCCCCCCCCCUUCCCUUCCUCCCUCCUAACAUCGACUAACUACCUCGUGUACCAAGAUGGCGCCGGUAAACCGUGGGAGACCCUCAUGGCCCCGGUGACAUCACCUGCAGUAGGCAGAGCAUUGAAGCAACCACUUAACACCUAACCAAUUAUUGAUGUAUUAUUCCAUGUUAUCUCUGACAAUGCUUAUGAUGUAAUUUUGCUUUAAAA